rnacentral:rRNA from 1 species
UACAUGGGGUGCAAACGUUGCUCGGAAUCAUUGGGCGUAAAGCGCGUGAAGGCGGUUACUUAAGUCGGAUGUGAAAGCCCUCGGCUUAACUGAGGAAGUGCAUCCGAAACUGGGUAGCUAGAGUACGAAAGAGGGUCGCGGAAUUCCCGGUGUAGAGGUGAAAUUCGUAGAUAUCGGGAGGAACACCCGUGGCGAAGGCGGUUCUCUGGGACGGUACUGACGCUGAGACGCGAAAGCGUGGGGAGCGAACAGG